rnacentral:rRNA from 1 species
UGGGGAAUAUUGGACAAUGGGCGAAAGCCUGAUCCAGCCAUGCCGCGUGUGUGAAGAAGGUCUUCGGAUUGUAAAGCACUUUAAGUUGGGAGGAAGGGCAGUAAGCGAAUACCUUGCUGUUUUGACGUUACCGACAGAAUAAGCACCGGCUAACUCUGUGCCAGCAGCCGCGGUAAUACAGAGGGUGCAAGCGUUAAUCGGAAUUACUGGGCGUAAAGCGCGCGUAGGUGGUUCGUUAAGUUGAAUGUGAAAGCCCCGGGCUCAACCUGGGAACUGCAUCUGAAACUGGAGAGCUAGAGUAGGGCAGAGGGUGGUGGAAUUUCCUGUGUAGCGGUGAAAUGCGUAGAUAUAGGAAGGAACACCAGUGGCGAAGGCGACCACCUGGGCUCAUACUGACACUGAGGUGCGAAAGCGUGGGGAGCAAACAGG